rnacentral:rRNA from 1 species
UACGUAGGGGGCAAGCGUUGUCCGGAAUCAUUGGGCGUAAAGAGCGUGUAGGCGGCCCGAUAAGUCCGCUGUGAAAGUCCAGGGCUCAACCCUGGAAUGCCGGUGGAUACUGUCGGGCUCGAAUCCGGAAGAGGUGAGUGGAAUUCCUGGUGUAGCGGUGAAAUGCGCAGAUAUCAGGAAGAACACCCGUGGCGAAGGCGGCUCUCUGGGACGUGACUGACGCUGAGACGCGAAAGCGUGGGGAGCGAACAGG